rnacentral:rRNA from 1 species
CCUACGGGAGGCUGCAGUGGGGAAUAUUGGACAAUGGGGGGAACCCUGAUCCAGCCAUGCCGCGUGUGUGAAGAAGGCCCUCGGGUUGUAAAGCACUUUCAGUGAGGAAGAACGCCUGGUGGUUAAUACCCAUCAGGAAAGACAUCACUCACAGAAGAAGCACCGGCUAACUCCGUGCCAGCAGCCGCGGUAAUACGGAGGGUGCGAGCGUUAAUCGGAAUUACUGGGCGUAAAGCGCGCGUAGGUGGCUUGAUAAGCCGGUUGUGAAAGCCCCGGGCUCAACCUGGGAACGGCAUCCGGAACUGUCAAGCUAGAGUGCAGGAGAGGAAGGUAGAAUUCCCGGUGUAGCGGUGAAAUGCGUAGAGAUCGGGAGGAAUACCAGUGGCGAAGGCGGCCUUCUGGACUGACACUGACACUGAGGUGCGAAAGCGUGGGUAGCAAACAGGAUUAGAUACCCGGGUAGUUC